rnacentral:rRNA from 1 species
AACGAACGCUGGCGGCAUGCCUAACACAUGCCAGUCGAACGAUACCUUCGGGUCUAGUGGCGCACGGGUGCGUAACGCGUGGGAACCUGCCCUUAGGUUCGGAAUAACUCCCCGAAAGGGGUGCUAAUACCGGAUAAUGUCUUCGGACCAAAGAUUUAUCGCCUUUGGAUGGGCCCGCGUUGGAUUAGCUAGUUGGUAGGGUAAAAGCCUACCAAGGCGAGGAUCCAUAGCUGGUAUGAGAGGAUGAUCAGCCACACUGGCACUGAGACACGGCCCAGACUGCUACGGGAGGGAGGAGUGGGGAAUAUUGGAAAAUGGGCGAAAGGCUGAUCCAGCAAUGGCGGGUGAGUGAUGAAGGCCUUAGGGUUGUAAAGCUCUUUUACCCGGGAUGAUAAUGACAGUACCGGGAGAAUAAGCGCCGGCUAACUCCGUG